ACGUAGUUCUCUGCACUUGGCGAUGACCCGCUUCGCUUUUCUACUUGCCUUCC
rnacentral:ribozyme from 1 species